rnacentral:misc_RNA from 1 species
UUUCCGUUGGUGAACCAGCGGAGGGAUCAUUACCGAGUGAAAAGUCAUAACCCUUUGUGAACCUAUAUCUGUUGCUCCGGCGGCUCGUUCUCGGGGGAGCCCGCCGGUAAUAUCAGUAUCUCUGUUUGAACCCGCCGAUACUUCUGAGUGUCCUUCGCGAACAGUUAAAACUUUUAACAACGGAUCUCUUGGCUCUA